rnacentral:rRNA from 1 species
AUUGAACGCUGGCGGCAGGCCUAACACAUGCAAGUCGAGCGGAUGAAGGGAGCUUACUCCUGGAUUCAGCGGCGGACGGGUGAGUAAUGCCUAGGAAUCUGCCUGGUAGUGGGGGAUAACGUCCGGAAACGGGCGCUAAUACCGCAUACGUCCUGAGGGAGAAAGUGGGGGAUCUUCGGACCUCACGCUAUCAGAUGAGCCUAGGUCGGAUUAGCUAGUUGGUGGGGUAAAGGCCUACCAAGGCGACGAUCCGUAACUGGUCUGAGAGGAUGAUCAGUCACACUGGAACUGAGACACGGUCCAGACUCCUACGGGAGGCAGCAGUGGGGAAUAUUGGACAAUGGGCGAAAGCCUGAUCCAGCCAUGCCGCGUGUGUGAAGAAGGUCUUCGGAUUGUAAAGCACUUUAAGUUGGGAGGAAGGGCAGUAAGUUAAUACCUUGCUGCUUUGACGUUACCAACAGAAUAAGCACCGGCUAACUUCGUG